ACCAUCCCUUGACUUAAUAGAGUAAUAAUCUACCUUCUUUAAAGUAACCAUCAUUUAAUUUCUCUUAUUUCCUUUUUGUGGAUUAAAGCCUCAUUUUCCUUCUUGGCAGCUUAUAAUAUUCCCCUAGCCCAAGAUUGCUUCAAAGUACACACUAAGAGAAGUAAAAGGUUAAUUAUUUUAUCUUUAGAUGGCAUCAUCUUGGACGCCAAGGCAAAACAAACUAUUUGAAGAGGCCCUUGCUAUACAUGAUAGGGAAACUCCUGACAGGUGGCAGAAUGUGGCAAGAGUAGUGGGAAAAUCCGUUGAGGAUGUUAAAAGACACUAUGAAAUCCUCAAAGAAGAUAUCAAGCGAAUUGAGCGUGGUCAAAUUCCAUUACCUAACUAUACAGGUUCUUGAUGAUCCAGAAAUCAGAAUAAAUCCAAGAUUAGCAAACUCAAUAGCGUGGAGUGUCCCUUAUAAAUAAAUGUAUAAUCAUCAGCAAGUCCUGAUAUAUAAAGGAUUUUGCAUGCUUUCUAUGUAAAAUAUAAGUUAUUUUCUAGUUCAUGUUGUCAAAUAAGUGACUGUUUAUGAAAUAAGGAGUUUGCAAUG